rnacentral:rRNA from 1 species
GAUGAACGCUGGCGGCGUGCCUAAUACAUGCAAGUCGAGCGAGCGGACGAGAAGCUUGCUUCUCUGAUGUUAGCGGCGGACGGGUGAGUAACACGUGUAUAAUCUACCUAUAAGACUGGGAUAACUUCGGGAAACCGGAUCUAAUACCGGAUGAUAUUUUGAACCGCAUGGUUCAAAAGUGAAAGACGGUCUUUCUGUCACUUAUAGAUGGAUCCGCGCUGCAUUAGCUAGUUGGUAAGGUAACGGCUUACCAAGGCAACGAUGCAUAGCCGACCUGAGAGGGUGAUAGGCCACACUGGAACUGAGACGCGGUCCAGACUCCUAAGGGAGGCAGCAGUAGGGAAUCUUCCGCAAUGGGCGAAAGCCUGACGGAGCAACGCCGCGUGAGUGAUGAAGGUCUUCGGAUCGUAAAACUCUGUUAUUAGGGAAGAACAUAUGUGUAAGUAACUGUGCACAUCUUGACGGUACCUAAUCAGAAAGCCACGGCUAGCUACGUG